rnacentral:rRNA from 1 species
GCACUAGGUGUGGGGGACAUUCCACGUUUUCCGCGCCGUAGCUAACGCAUUAAGUGCCCCGCCUGGGGAGUACGGCCGCAAGGCUAAAACUCAAAGGAAUUGACGGGGGCCCGCACAAGCGGCGGAGCAUGCGGAUUAAUUCGAUGCAACGCGAAGAACCUUACCAAGGCUUGACAUACACCGGACCGGUUCAGAGAUGUUCCUUCCCCCUUGUGGGGCUGGUGUACAGGUGGUGCAUGGCUGUCGUCAG